rnacentral:misc_RNA from 1 species
UCUAAGGAAUAAUUACGGAAACCUACACGAUUUGUUUUGAAACUUUGUUUAGUUUUGAGAGGCUUACUCUCAAACGUUGUACUUUGAAAACUGGAUAUUCAAUUUCUUUGUAAUAUAUAAACCGAGAAUUAACACUGCGUUUUAAAGAGUUUUUUAAGAAAGUAUUUCUUAAUCGCUAAACUCUAACCGUGAUACCGUUAGGU